UACGUAGGUGGCAAGCGUUGUCCGGAAUUAUUGGGCGUAAAGCGCGCGCAGGCGGUCCUUUAAGUCUGAUGUGAAAGCCCACGGCUCAACCGUGGAGGGUCAUUGGAAACUGGGGGACUUGAGUGCAGGAGAGAAGAGUGGAAUUCCACGUGUAGCGGUGAAAUGCGUAGAGAUGUGGAGGAACACCAGUGGCGAAGGCGACUCUUGGCCUGAUAACUGACGCUGGAGGCGACGAAGGCGUGGGGAGCAAACAGGAUUGAGAAACCCUGG
rnacentral:rRNA from 1 species